GCAGGGGUAGUACAUUUGGUUAGUACACUCCUUUCAUAAUGGAGAGAAAUGGGUUCAACUCCCGUCCCUUGCU
rnacentral:tRNA from 1 species